UACGUAGGGGGCCAGCGUUGUUCGGAAUUACUGGGUGUAAAGGGUUCGUAGGCGGUGUGGCAAGUUGGGAGUGAAAUCUCUGGGCUCAACCCAGAGACGGCUUCCAAAACUGCCGUGCUUGAGUGUGGGAGAGGCUCGUGGAAUUGCAGGUGUAGCGGUGAAAUGCGUAGAUAUCAGGAGGAACACCGGUGGCGAAGGCGGGUCUCUGGGCCGAUACUGACGCUGAGGAGCGAAAGCGUGGGGAGCGAACAGG
rnacentral:rRNA from 1 species